AUUAGGGAUGUACUGAGAAUGGGGAAGGAAACUAUCAUCUCAGAAGUCAGCAGGCAGUAAGCAAGAGGAGGAAUCAAUACAGCAACAGUUUGGAUCAGACUGUACAGUUUUUUUGUUUUUGUUUUUGUUUUUCUGAGAUGGAGUCUCGCUGUGUCACCCAGGCUGGAGUGCAAUGACGUGAUCUUGGCUCACUGCAACCUCCGCCUCCCAGGUUCAAGUGAUUCCCCUGCCUCAGCCUCCCGAGUAGCUGGGAUUACAGGUGCCUGCCACCACGCCUGGCUAAUUUUUUGUAUUUUUAGUAGAGAAGGGGUUUCACCAUAUUAGCCACAAUGGUCUCAAUCUCCUGACCUCGUGAUCCAUCCGCCCCGCCCUCCCAGAGUGCUGGGAUUACAGGCGUCAGCCACCGUGACCGGCUCAGACUGUACUCUUCUAGCCAUCUGAAAUACGUUUUCUAGGUAGAGAUAGAUUGUGUAAGGGUACAGUUGUGAGGAUAACAGAAACAUGGCAGAUUAUUUAAAAUCAUCCUGAAAGUGGUGCUUUAUCUGAUGAAAGUGAUUGUAAUCCAUAGGAAAAUGUUUCAACGUGCGCAAGAGUUGCGGCGGCGAGCAGAGGACUACCACAAAUGCAAAAUCCCCCCUUCUGCAAGAAAGGCUCUUUGCAACUGGGUCAGAAUGGCGGCAGCGGAGCAUCGUCAUUCUUCAGGAUUGCCCUACUGGCCCUACCUCACAGCUGAAACUUUAAAAAACAGGAUGGGCCACCAGCCACCUCCUCCAACUCAACAACAUUCUAUAACUGAUAACUCCCUGAGCCUCAAGACACCUCCCGAGUGUCUGCUCACUCCCCUUCCACCCU
rnacentral:lncRNA from 10 species